UCAUGUGCCACUCGGUAGGCGGGCCGUCCCCCGGUCAGAUGGCGUCGGCCGCCCGCGGCGAGUUCUUCGCUCGCGGUGUCGUAGCCGGCGUUCACUCGGCCGUCGGACGAGGUUACCCGCGCCGUGGCACCGCACUUCCUCCCUAGUACGUACGUCGCGACCCGUUGGGUGUCGGUCUGAAGGCCCGGGAUGGCAGCCCGGUGCUCCUAUUUCGCGCUUGGCGAAGGGGGCCCGGACUCUCGGCAUGCCCGGCCGACUGCCCGACGGCAUGACCGCAAGGGUCGAUCCGCUACUCUGAAAGCCCGUCGCUCGGUGGAGCGUCCGGGCCCCGGCGUCGGGCGGCUCGGGUCGAGGUGUCCAAGAAUUUUCUCGGCCCACGACCUCGAGUCUCGUCCGGCGUCGGCGUCCUCGGACGGGAUCGAGACCCGGUCUGCGACGCCUUUCUUCGGACGGUCUCCCGCCCC
rnacentral:rRNA from 1 species